CAAGGUCUCCGUUGGUGAACCAGCGGAGGGAUCAUUACUGAGUUUACGCUCUACAACCCUUUGUGAACAUACCUAUAACUGUUGCUUCGGCGGGUAGGGUCUCCGUGACCCUCCCGGCCUCCCGCCCCCGGGCGGGUCGGCGCCCGCCGGAGGAUAACCAAACUCUGAUUUAACGACGUUUCUUCUGAGUGGUACAAGCAAAUAAUCAAAACUUUUAACAACGGAUCUCUUGGUUCUGGCAUCGAUGAAGAACGCAGCGAAAUGCGAUAAGUAAUGUGAAUUGCAGAAUUCAGUGAAUCAUCGAAUCUUUGAACGCACAUUGCGCCCGCCAGCAUUCUGGCGGGCAUGCCUGUUCGAGCGUCAUUUCAACCCUCAAGCUCUGCUUGGUGUUGGGGCCCUACAGCUGAUGUAGGCCCUCAAAGGUAGUGGCGGACCCUCCCGGAGCCUCCUUUGCGUAGUAACUUUACGUCUCGCACUGGGAUCCGGAGGGACUCUUGCCGUAAAACCCCCCAAUUUUCCAAAGGCUGACCUCGGAUCAGGUAGGAAUACCCGCUGAACUUAAGCAUAUCAAUAAGCGGA
rnacentral:rRNA from 1 species